rnacentral:rRNA from 1 species
AAAGAAAGCGUAAUAGCUCACUGGUCGAGUCGGCCUGCGCGGAAGAUGUAACGGGGCUAAACCAUGCACCGAAGCUGCGGCAGCGACACUGUGUGUUGUUGGGUAGGGGAGCGUUCUGUAAGCCUGCGAAGGUGUGCUGUGAGGCAUGCUGGAGGUAUCAGAAGUGCGAAUGCUGACAUAAGUAACGAUAAAGCGGGUGAAAAGCCCGCUCGCCGGAAGACCAAGGGUUCCU